UACGAAGGGGGCAAGCGUUGUUCGGAAUUACUGGGCGUAAAGGGCGCGUAGGCGGCUUAUCAAGUCAGGCGUGAAAUUCCCGGGCUCAACCUGGGGGCUGCGCUUGAUACUGAUUGGCUUGAAUGCGGGAGAGGAUAGUGGAAUUCCCAGUGUAGAGGUGAAAUUCGUAGAUAUCUGGAGGAACACCGGUGGCGAAGGCGACGUCCUGGACCGGCAUUGACGCUGAGGCGCGAAAGCCAGGGGAGCAAACGGGG
rnacentral:rRNA from 1 species